GCAGACCUUCUCCAAAUCAAAAUCUCGUUACUCACCUUCUAGAUCUUCUUCGUCACUCCAGCAGCAAGAACACCAAAGAACCCCUCUUCAUCUUCUUCCUUCCAGUGACCUAAGCCCUAUACUUUAACUAAAAUUUCAGCCACAACCUCCAUUAAAGCACUCAAAAACCCUCCAAACAAUAACUUCCAAACUCAGUUGAAAGUAGUUCAAAAUAGCACUAAAAUAAGAGGAUAAAAACGUAGUUCAAUGCUUUUCUUUCUCUAAGAACAAGCAUAAAAAUCCCAGCAAUUUAACAAACAAAAUGAACCCCCCCCCCGAAAAAAAACUUCUAACCGGCUCUGAAAAUCAGUCCAAAAUCCACCCAUAUCUCCAUCUUCAAUGCCAGCAACCCAGCACAUCUCCAUGGCUUUGUAGGAAUCCGAAGAGGUGAUGUUGAAAUCGAGUCCGAGUUUGCCGCGUUUCAAUUUAAUGGUCUAUCAAGAUCCUUCAUUCGCAACUUUUGACUUAUGUCGAUUUUGGGUUUAAAUUUGGUCAGUGGCUUUAUUUAGCAGCUCACCCGUGGCUAUAGUCCAAGUUUUGGCUGGAGACUACUUAUUUGAUAAUAUUCAGCAAAAGGUCCAAUCCUAGCUUUAUCUUUCACAUUUUGUCUUUCUCUGUCUUUGAUAGUUUGGUUCAUAUCUUGAAUUUUUUUUCCCAUUUCGAUUCUUUCCAGUUUGGUUAGUAGAUUAGGC
rnacentral:lncRNA from 1 species